CCGAAAACUCCAUUAAUGGCAUCGCCAGGAUAUCAUGAAGAUCAAGAGGAUGAUGAUGAUGAUGAUGGUGGAGUUUACCAGCCUGGGUAUAUCCCGGAUCAGUUUGAAAAGAAAAGAAGUAAAAAAGUGGAAUUUAUCAUUUUAAUUGAAUGGAUUGCAUUGUUUAGCAUAUUGGGUUUUUUGAUUGUUAGCUUAACUGUAGAUAAAUUGAGUAGUUUGUACGUUUCGGGAUUGCGCAUAUGGAGAUGGUGUGUGUUGGUAUUGGUGUUUUUCUGUGGGCAUUUGGUUACUCAAUGGUUUACUGAGUUGUUAGUGUUUGUGAUUGAAAGGAAUUAUUUGCUUAAGAACAAGGUUUUAUAUUUUCUUUACAGUUUGAGGAAGAGUUUUCGAGUAUCGCUUUGGUUGGGCUUGGUUCUGAUAGCUUGGGCAUUGUUGAUUAAUAGAGGGGUCAAGCGGUCAAGGCAUACUAUGAGAGUACUGAAUCAUAUUACAAGGGCUCUUGCAUCUAGUCUUAUUGGAUCAGUUUUGUGGAUGACCCUUUCAGGCCCUGCAUUGAUGGAAAAUGCUGAUACAGCUGGACGGUUCAGGAAUAGCGGGAGGUUGAGCUUCAAGUACUCAAUGAAAGGGAAACAAAAGGGGAAAGGGGAUGAGGUGGUUAAUGUGGAUAAACUUUACAAUCUGACACGAGAGAAGAUUUCUUCUUUCACAAUGAAUGGGUUAGUUCAAGUAAUAAGGACUUCAGGAUUAUCAACUAUUUCUGAUGCGCUUGAGCGGAGCGAUGAUGACGAAGAGGUUCCACAGAAGGAGAUUGUAAGUGAGGUUGAAGCAAAGGCUGCUGCUAGAGAUAUUUUUAAGAAAGUAGCCAAGUCUGGCAACAGGUAUAUUGAUGAAGGAGAUCUUUUGCGGUUUUUUCCACCUGAGGAAGUUGGUAAUGUGCUUCCACUAUUCGAAGGAACUGCACAAACUGGACAGAUCAUGAAAGCAUCCUUCAAGAGUUGGGUGGUAAAGGUCUACAAUGAACGGAAAUAUCUAGCACAUUCUCUGAAUGAUGCCAAAACAGCUGUUGAAGAGCUUAACAAGAUCUCUUCUGCAAUUAUUUUAGUAGUCAUCAUUAUAGUGUGGUUGCUGUUGAUGGGAUUUGCUACAACUAAAGUGUUGGUCUUCAUUUCAUCUCAACUUCUACUGGUGGUCUUCAUGUUUGGCAACACAGCCAAAACGGUAUUUGAAGCAAUGGUCUUCGUAUUUGGAACCCACCCGUUUGAUGUUGGCGAUAGAUGCGUUGUCGAUGGGGUGCAGAUGAUUGUUGAAGAGAUGAACAUUUUGACAACAAUCUUCUUGAGAUAUGACAAUCAGAUGAUAUACUAUCCAAAUAGCAUUCUUGCUACUAAACCAAUCACCAACUUUAAUAGAAGUCCACCGUUGGGUGAUUCUGUGGAGUUUUCUGUCGAUUUUUCCACUUCAGUCGAGAGCAUAGCAGCUCUGAAGGCCAAACUAAAAGGGUUUUCAUUAUUGCUUCGCACGCCAAGCUUCAUGUAAUGACUUUGGACAGUUCAACUUCAAUUUUCCUUUCUAGUUCCAUCCUGCAGCUGUUCUUUUCUAGUUCCAACACACACUCGACGAGAUUGAUUUCGGCAAAAGAACCAACUGGAUACACAGAACUCCCCCUGCUUUUCUAGUUUCUGCUGUAGUACAAGUAAACCUUGCUCUGUAAUGCAAAUUGCAUUGGCAACCAGAAAAGAAAUUUACUUAGUCUGACUAUUGCUGCCCAGUACUUUUACAUUUCAUUUCUGGAGCCCAAAUGAAAAGGAAGGAAACUUCCAUAAUUGGUUGUAGAUGUAGUGUUUUAAUGGACAAUGUGCUUUGUGGUGUGUUUCAGGUAUUUGGAGAGCAAGCCUGAACAGUGGCAGCCUAGCCACAGCGUCCAGAUCAAGGAAAUUGAGGAUGUGAACAAGCUCAAGAUGGCUCUCUACGUUACUCAUGCCAUAAACUCAUCAUCAUCGCAGAGAAGCAGCCACAGAUCUGAUCUAGUCCUUGAGCUGAAGAAAAUUUUUGAAGUUCUUCAAAUCAAUUAUCAUCUUCUUCCUCAAGAAGUGCAUGUCAGAUAUGUUGGAUCAGAGUUUCCUCCAUCUAACA